ACAGGGCUGUUGUUGUUGUUGUUUAUCUCACCAGGUUCCAGUGACAGGGCUGAUGUUGUUGUUGUUUAUCUCACCAGGUUCUAGUGACAGGGCUGUUGUUGUUGUUGUUUAUCUCACCAGGUUCUAGUGACAGGGCUGAUGUUGUUGUUGUUGUUGUUUAUCUCACCAGGUUCUAGUGACAGGGCUGUUGUUGUUGUUGUUUAUCUCACCAGGUUCUAGUGACAGGGCUGUUGUUGUUGUUGUUGUUGUUGUUGUUUAUCUCACCAGGUUCUAGUGACAGGGCUGAUGUUGUUGUUGUUUAUCUCACCAGGUUCUAGUGACAGGGCUGUUG